ACAAUAUUCGGAGCGUCGGUCUGCCGAGCAAUUACACCCGCUCGGUCAAAAAUCUUCCCUUUGUCGU
rnacentral:pre_miRNA from 1 species